UCUAAGCCACUGGGAUAUGUUUCCUCGGAUAUUGCAGAUGUUGAUCCGAUCACGCCAAAUAUGUUGCUCAUGGGGCGGCGUGAUGCCUCCCUUCCCCAGGCAGUUUAUGGCACCAGAGAAAAACUUGGAAGGCGAAAAUGGCGUCACAGCCAAGUCAUGGCGGAUCAGUUCUGGACUCAGUUCAUUCAGCGCUACCUGCCUGGACUGCAGCCUCGCCAGAAGUGGAACCAGACUACUCCACCUUUGAAAGUGGGACAGACGGUCAUGGUGGUGGACUAUCAGCUCCCACGGGCUUCCUGGCCCGUAGGACAGGUAACACAGGUGUUUCCCAGCCCGGAUGGACAGGUGCGAGUAGCUGAAGUCGCUAUUGGGGAACAUAAAUACCAACGGCCUAUGUCAAAACUUAUCACUUUACCUGAACUGUCAGCUGAAUGUCCUUAGUUAUAUUCACAUGGGUUUUUUAAUGUUUACUAAUGUGCUAUACACAUUAGGGGGCGGCUGUAUAAAACCCCUGUGAUUUGUGUAUAUAGACUGUUCCACGGACCCCCUCUAAUCACUGCUAAGAUGGUACAUUCCUCCCAUCCCUUGUUUUGUGUUUGCGCUGGUUCGCUGUGAUAGCGCUGGUGGAGCUGGGCUGUUGUACUGAACAUGUGUCGUGCGUGUGCGUGAAUGAUAAAACCACACACAUACACUUACAUAUACUCACACAAAUUCACUCCUGGAGAUGUUUUGGAUUAAAGGGACCUAAACUAUCA